rfam:Sporomusa sp. An4 isolate Sporomusa ovata strain An4 genome assembly, contig: SPAN4DRAFT_scaffold-2
UUGAAUAGUAAACUCCGAGCCAAUAGUACCUCACUCUACAAGAAUGGUGGUUGGCCUAUGGGCAUAAUUGGAAACGGUUAUGCCUCCCGUUUGGAAAGGAGCGCAAUUUAGCGGACA